rnacentral:rRNA from 1 species
AACAUAACCUUUAGCCAGACAAGUAUUAAAGGCAACGCCUGCCCAGUGAAAAUUAAACGGCCGCGGUACCCUAACCGUGCAAAGGUAGCAUAAUCAUUUGUCUAUUAAUUGUAGACCUGUAUGAAAGGCAAAAUGAGAGCCCAACUGUCUCUUAUAACAAAUCAAUUAAACUGAUCUCCUAGUACAAAAGCUAGAAUACCAACAUAAGACCAGAAGACCCUGUGAAGCUUUAACUAACCUAUUAAAUUCAAUAAUGGCUACUUUCGGUUGGGGCGACCUUGGAAUAAAAAAGAACUUCCAAUAAUAUGACUUCUCAUAAAAUAGGCAGACAAGCCAACACUAGAUCCAGUAAUACUGAUAAUUGAAAUAAGUUACUCCAGGGAUAACAGCGCUAUCUUCUUUAAGAGCCCAUAUCAAAAAGAAGGUUUACGACCUCGAUGUUGGAUCAGGGCACCCCAGUAAUGCACCCGUUACUAAAGGUUCGUUUGUUCAACGAUCAACAGCCCUACGUGAUCU